rnacentral:lncRNA from 1 species
AUGCCCAGAGAUGGGACGCGGAGCACAGGACAAGAUCCGACUCCGAGCGGCUGGCCUUCCCUCCUCGGCCUGGGAAGUGCUUCUGGAGCCCGGGGAAGAGGCCCCUCCAGGAGGCGGCGGCCGAAGGCCACGGACAGUGCGGGGCGGCCGAGGGCCCCGAGCGGCCCAGCCCUGCCCACCCGCCCGCGCCCGCUCACCUCCAGCGCCUGGCCCAGCUCCAGGUCGAAGGUGACCACGCACACGCACUCCAGCCAGGCGGAGAAGCGCGCCCAGGGCGCCGCGGGGGUCCGCGCCGCGCGGCCUGAAGACCCGGGUCCAGCGGCGCCCAGGCAGCCGCGAGCCCGGCGAGGCCCUGUGCCCGACAGCGCGUCCAUGGCGGCGGCCGCAGGUUGCCGGGGGAACGCGGGCGGGGGCGGUGCGCGUCCGGAACGCGCCUCAGAGCAGUCGAGCGGCCGCCGCGGCCCAGUGCGGCUCCACCGCGGCCGCGCGCCCCCUAGCGCCGGAGAAGCGCCAGCGGCCGGGCGCCGCCCAGGGCACCAGCGAGCCGGGCGCGCGCAGGCCAGAGCGGCCGGAGCCCACUGGGGGACUUCCGGGGAAGAGGCCGCACCGGAGUUUUCCACGGCCCACGCCGUCUGAGGCCCGAGAGAGUCGGGUCAGGCCCGGUGCUCGCGGAUCCCGGCUUGCGGGAGCCUCGCGGCCAGGCCGGGGAGGCAGAGCAAGGCCGCAGCCAGCCGGCGCCGAGCUCGUGGGGCUUCGCAGGUCCGGCCAGCCCGCCUCGCCCCACCGCGGAGCGGCGUCGCGGGCGUUUUCGUGGCGGAAUGGCGUCUUCACUGAGCGCCCAGCCACCACCGCCGACUCGCGCUCCCGCCCUGUGGACUCCCGCUAGUUUCCUCUGGGGCCGGUGCGGCCUGGGGUCGCGUCUGACCGCCGGUGUCCACGUGGCGCCUCUGCAGUUUCACUUUCCGGGGGAAUCGCGGGAACCUGGAGCGCCUUCCCUCCCUCGCGAGGGCCACGGGCUCCGCCGUGGUCCACAGAGCACCUCGAGGCCUGGCGUGGAAGGGCGAGUUUGGGCCUAUCGGUAACUUAAUGGAGCACGCCUUUGAGUCGUGGGCCUCGUGACGUUUCGGUGGAAGGCGGACCGCAUAUACUGUGGUGGUCCCUUCAGAUUACCACGUGUUGGCCAGACGCGGGGGCUCACAGCUGUCAUCCCACCACUUUGGGAGGCCGAGCGGGGGUGGCGGAUCAUGAAUCCAGGAGUUCGAGACAAGCCUGACCAACAUGGUGAAACCCCGUCUCUACUGAAAAUACAAAAAGUAGCCGGGUGUGGUGGCUGGAGGGCGCCGUAAUCCCAGCUACUCCGGAGGCUGAAGCAGGAGAAUCGCUUCAACCCCGGAGGCAAAGGUUGCAGUAAACCGAGAUUGUGCCACUGCAGUCCAGCCUGGGCGACAGAGCGAGACUCCAUCUCAAAAACAAAUACAUAAAUAAAUAAAAAAUUACCACGUGUUCGGAUUAUCUG